rnacentral:misc_RNA from 1 species
AGCUUUUAGCAACGGAUCACUUGGUUCUGGCAUCGAUGAAGAACGCAGCGAAAUGCGAUAAGUAAUGCGAAUUGCAGAAUUCAGUGAGUCAUCGAAUCUUUGAACGCACAUUGCGCCCUGUGGUAUUCCGCAGGGCAUGCCUGUUCGAGCGUCAGUGCAACACUCAAGCUCAGCUUGGUCUUGAGCCUAGCCUGUAAAAUGGCGAGGCUUUAAAAUUAGUGGCGGCGUCAUUAGGCUCUAAGCGUAGUAAUUACCCUCGCUAUUGAGUUCUGGUGAUAGCUUGCCAACAACCCCAACUUUCUAAGUUUGACCUCGGAUCAGGUAGGGAUACCCGCUGAACUUAAGCAUAUCAAUAAGCGGAGGCU